rnacentral:tRNA from 1 species
ACGGCAGUAGCUCAACGGUAGAGUCCUGGUCUCCAAAACCAGUUGUUGGGGGUUCGAAUCCCUCCUGCCGUG